AGCGAACGCUGGCGGCAGGCUUAACACAUGCAAGUCGAGCGGGCCUUUCGGGGUCAGCGGCGGACGGGUGAGUAACGCGUGGGAACGUGCCCUCUGGUUCGGAAUCACUCAGGGAAACUUGAGCUAAUACCGGAUACGCCCUUUUGGGGAAAGGCUUGCUGCCGGAGGAUCGGCCCGCGUCUGAUUAGCUAGUUGGUGAGGUAACGGCUCACCAAGGCGACGAUCAGUAGCUGGUCUGAGAGGAUGAUCAGCCACACUGGGACUGAGACACGGCCCAGACUCCUACGGGAGGCAGCAGUGGGGAAUAUUGGACAAUGGGCGCAAGCCUGAUCCAGCCAUGCCGCGUGAGUGAUGAAGGCCUUAGGGUUGUAAAGCUCUUUUAUCCGGGACGAUAAUGACGGUACCGGAGGAAUAAGCCCCGGCUAACUUCGUG
rnacentral:rRNA from 1 species